GGGGUACUCGAGCGGCGAACGGGUGAGUAACACGUGAGUAACCUGCCCCAGGCUUUGGGAUAACCCCGGGAAACCGGGGCUAAUACCGGAUAUGACCAUCUGUCGCAUGGUGGGUGGUGGAAAGAUUUUUUGGCUUGGGAUGGGCUCGCGGCCUAUCAGCUUGUUGGUGGGGUGAUGGCCUACCAAGGCGGCGACGGGUAGCCGGCCUGAGAGGGCGACCGGCCACACUGGGACUGAGACACGGCCCAGACUCCUACGGGAGGCAGCAGUGGGGAAUCUUGCACAAUGGGCGGAAGCCUGAUGCAGCGACGCCGCGUGAGGGAUGACGGCCUUCGGGUUGUAAACCUCUUUCAGCAGGGACGAAGCGUUUGUGACGGUACCUGCAGAAGAAGCGCCGGCCAACUACGUGCCAGCAGCCGCGGUAAGACGUAGGGCGCAAGCGUUGUCCGGAUUUAUUGGGCGUAAAGAGCUCGUAGGCGGCUUGUCGCGUCGACUGUGAAAACCCGUGGCUCAACUGCGGGCUUGCAGUCGAUACGGGCAGGCUAGAGUUCGGUAGGGGAGACUGGAAUUCCUGGUGUAGCGGUGAAAUGCGCAGAUAUCAGGAGGAACACCGGUGGCGAAGGCGGGUCUCUGGGCCGAUACUGACGCUGAGGAGCGAAAGCGUGGGGAGCGAACAGGA
rnacentral:rRNA from 1 species